rnacentral:rRNA from 1 species
UACGGGGGGAGGCAAGCGUUGUUCGGAUUUACUGGGCGUAAAGGGCGCGUAGGCGGGCGAUCAAGUCAGGGGUGAAAUCCUCCGGCUCAACCGGAGAACUGCCUUUGAUACUGGUCAUCUCGAGUGAGGUAGGGGCAUGCGGAACUGAUGGUGGAGCGGUGAAAUGUGUUGAUAUCAUCAGGAACUCCGGUGGCGAAAGCGGCGUGCUGGACCUUUACUGACGCUGAUGCGCGAAAGCCAGGGGAGCGAACAGG